rnacentral:tRNA from 2 species
GGGCCCGUAGCGCAGCCUGGAUCAGCGCGGCGGCCUGCGGAGCCGUAGGUCGCGGGUUCAAAUCCCGCCGGGCCCG